CCAACAUCAGAGGGAACCAUUUUGACAGAGCGCAUAUGUUUGAAGUGUGAAAGCUGGACUUUUUGAACUACAAGACCGUGUUUUAGUAUCGGGGGAACUAAACCGCACGGGGCACCAUGCUAGCAUCUGUUGAUGGGAUUUGAGACCAGCGCAUUGCGAUCAUGUGCGAUACUCGGCGAUGCCACCACCUCCAUUUGGUUUGCAGGCAGUGGCUGAUUUUAGCAGGCAUUUCCCAGGCGAUGAAGGACCAUGUGACCAAGCCAACAUCCCUGCAGGGUCAUCCACCUCAAGUGGAAGGGUUGGCCCAAACCCACCAACUCUCUACAGGAAGCUCGCUACACCGCAGGAGUGGCAGAGCAGUUUGCUAUCGCUGAGGGAAAGCUGAAAACCUGGACCUCUGUGGCUGAUGACCAGAAAGACGAUGACUAGGAGUUCCUCCAGAACAAUAGAAACACACUCUCUACCCACAGCUCAGGUGUUCUGACACUUUGAUUCUCCCUCAGACUUCAACGUCCAACCACGAGCCCCGAGUGCCAUUCCAGGCCAAGACAGACAGCUUUGAAGUUCUAGCAGAAACAGCCUGCACUGUGAUAGGCCCACAUCUCAGAACAACCCGCCUACUCCAGGGGGUGACCGGGCUAGCCCAUUCCCUAGUGGAUGGUGAGGAUCAGCCUGCACUUCAUCGUCUACUAGUCUGACUGGAGGCCGACAAUCAUGAAGCAGUAGGUUUGACUCCUGCUAUUCAACCUCUCACUCUGAGUUUCUUAGAGAGGAAGAAGAGGAUAGGAGUGUGUUUCAGGACGGUAGAGAGUGGCUCUCCGACAGAGGCUCGUCAGGCGUGGCUUCGUUCCAUUAAGAAGAUAAGGUGGAAAGCAUUUAAAUGUGAUGUUUCAUCUUGUAGGUGUACACCUUGGAUAGUCUGUCAACUCUUAGAAACAUUUCCUUCAGAAGUUAUUCACACCCCUUGACUUAUUCUAGAUUGUGUUGUUACAGCCUGAAUUUAAAAUGGAUUAAAUAGAGAUUUUGUGUCACUGGCCUACACACAUUACCCCAUAAUGUCAAAAUGGAAUUAUAUUUGUAUAUAGAUUUUUUUUAAUUAAUAAAAAAUGAGAAGCUGAAUUGUCUUGAGUCAAGUAUUCAACUGCUUUGUUAUGGCAAGGAGUACAAAUCUGGAGUAAAAAUCUACUAAAGUCACAAAUUGCAUGGACUCUAUGUGCAAUAAUAGUGUUUAACAUGCUUUGAAUGACCACCUCAUCUCUGUACCCCACGCAUAAAAUGAAUUGUAAGGUCCCUCAGUCGAGCAGUGAAUUUCA